GGAGAUCACUGCUAUUGGGGUUCGACUAAGCCAUGCGAGUCCAGAGUGGUAAUGCACUCGGCAAACGGCUCAGUAACACGUGGGUAACCUACCCUUAGGACAGGAAUAACCCCGGAAAACUGGGGAUAAUGCCUGAUAGGUGGAGAAGUCUGGAACGGCUCUCCGCUCAAAUGCUCCGGCGCCUGAGGAUAGGCCUGCGACCGAUUAGGUUGUUGGUGGUGUAAUGGACCACCAAGCCUGAGAUCGGUACGGGCACUGAGAGGUGUAGCCCGGAGAUGGGGACUGAGACACGGCCCCAGGCCCUACGGGGCGCAGCAGGCGCGAAAACUCCGCAAUACACGAAAGUGUGACGGGGGAACCCCGAGUGCACUCACGCAAGUGAGUGCUUUUGUGAAGUGUAAAUAGCUUUAUGAAUAAGAGCUGGGUAAGACCGGUGCCAGCCGCCGCGGUAACACCGGCAGCUCGAGUGGUGAUCACUAUUAUUGGGCCUAAAGCGUCCGUAGCCGGUUUGGUAAGUCCUUGGGCAAAUCCUGUCGCUUAACGGCAGGAAUUCUGAGGAUACUGUCAGACUUGAGGCCGAGAGAGGUCGGAGGUACUUCUGGGGUAGCGGUGAAAUGCUAUAAUCCUAGAGGGACCACCGGUGGCGAAGGCGUCCGACUAGAGCGGGCCUGACGGUAAGGGACGAAAGCCAGGGGA
rnacentral:rRNA from 1 species